rnacentral:rRNA from 1 species
UACGAAGGGGGGCUAGCGUUGCUCGGAAUUACUGGGCGUAAAGCGCACGUAGGCGGUCUUUUAAGUCGGGGGUGAAAUCCUGGAGCUCAACUCCAGAACUGCCUUCGAUACUGGAAGACUCGAGUCCGGGAGAGGUGAGUGGAACUGCGAGUGUAGAGGUGAAAUUCGUAGAUAUUCGCAAGAACACCAGUGGCGAAGGCGGCUCACUGGCCCGGUACUGACGCUGAGGUGCGGAAAGCGUGGGGAGCAAACAGGG